AGCACCGGCUAACUACGUGCCAGCAGCCGCGGUAAUACGUAGGGUGCAAGCGUUAUCCGGAAUUAUUGGGCGUAAAGGGCUCGUAGGCGGUUCGUCGCGUCCGGUGUGAAAGUCCAUCGCUUAACGGUGGAUCCGCGCCGGGUACGGGCGGGCUUGAGUGCGGUAGGGGAGACUGGAAUUCCCGGUGUAACGGUGGAAUGUGUAGAUAUCGGGAAGAACACCAAUGGCGAAGGCAGGUCUCUGGGCCGUCACUGACGCUGAGGAGCGAAAGCGUGGGGAGCGAACAGGAUUAGAUACCCUGGUAGUCCACGCCGUAAACGGUGGAUGCUGGAUGUGGGGACCAUUCCACGGUCUCCGUGUCGGAGCCAACGCGUUAAGCAUCCCGCCUGGGGAGUACGGCCGCAAGGCUAAAACUCAAAGAAAUUGACGGGGGCCCGCACAAGCGGCGGAGCAUGCGGAUUAAUUCGAUGCAACGCGAAGAACCUUACCUGGGCUUGACAUGUUCCCGACAGCCGUAGAGAUACGGCCUCCCUUCGGGGCGGGUUCACAGGUGGUGCAUGGUCGUCGUCAGCUCGUGUCGUGAGAUGUUGGGUUAAGUCCCGCAACGAGCGCAACCCUCGCCCUGUGUUGCCAGCACGUCGUGGUGGGAACUCACGGGGGACCGCCGGGGUCAACUCGGAGGAAGGUGGGGAUGACGUCAGAUCAUCAUGCCCCUUACGUCCAGGGCUUCACGCAUGCUACAAUGGCCGGUACAACGGGAUGCGACAUGGCGACAUGGAGCGGAUCCCUGAAAACCGGUCUCAGUUCGGAUUGGAGUCUGCAACCCGACUCCAUGAAGGCGGAGUCGCUAGUAAUCGCGGAUCAGCAACGCCGCGGUGAAUGCGUUCCCGGGCCUUGUACACACCGCCCGUCAAGUCAUGAAAGUGGGUAGCACCCGAAGCCGGUGGCCCAACCUUUUGGGGGGAGCCGUCUAAGGUGAGACUCGUGAUUGGGACUAAGUCGUAACAAGGUAGCCGUACCGGAAGGUGCGGCUG
rnacentral:rRNA from 1 species